rnacentral:misc_RNA from 1 species
CGCAAAAUUUGAAGCUCAGUCUGGCAGAGAGGGUCGGAGAAAUGGGCCUCAGAAAUCUAAAACAAUGGAAGAGCUUCGCCAUAGAAGCACUGAAUCAGUCAUUUUUGGUCGCCAAAUUCCUCUGCUUCCUUCACGUCACCAACACCUAUCUCUGCACUGUUGCUCUAACCUAUGGCCCCAGUAUGCUUCCGACUCUUAACCUCACCGGUGAUCUCGUCCUCGCUGAGAAGAUCUCGCCCCGGAUUGGCAAGGUGGGUCCUGGCGAUGUCGUUCUUGUGCGGUCCCCUGUCAAUCCUAGAAGGGUAGUGACCAAACGCGUGAUUGGCAUAGAAGGUGAUAGUGUCACUUAUGUUGUUGACCCCAAAAACAGCGAUAGAAGCGAUACUAUUGUGGUUCCUAAGGGGCAUAUUUGGAUAGAGGGAGAUAACAUAUAUGAUUCGAAUGACUCAAGAAAGUUUGGGGCAGUUCCAUAUGGCCUUCUUCAGGCAAAAGUAUUUUGGAGGGUAUUGCCGCCGAAAGAUUUUGGACCUUUGGGACAAAGAGCGAAAUAAAUGAAUGACUAUGGUGAAUCAAUCUUUGAGAUCUUUGAACCAUGGUUUGGAUUGAAGACAUUGGGUAUGAAAGAUCACACUUGUUAGAAAGUUCUGCUUCUUUGCUUAUAUUAAAGAGAACCAAGUAGCAGGCGUAUCAUGGGACACAUCAAUGAAGGCUGGCAAUAAACUUUCAUUUUUCUCAUGCUGUUGUAUUUUAAGAGGAAUCUGGUCUGUAAGCCUUUGAAAUUGGCAGGGAUUUUCGGUCUUUGUAAAACUACAUUAAUAAGCACAGGCUUAAUUAGUCCAAC